GGCAACGAUUAUCCACCUAUACGGUGCUAGGUCUCCUAUCCUCCCUGGAGCGGCCCCCGGGAUUGCGCUCUAGGGGGCCCCCCCUUUUCUCUCAAUGCCUAAUAAAAUUUUAACAGUAUUGUGAAGAGAAUGUGAUGGGGAAGCGAGAUGAAAAGCGAAAAUUAAAACUGUGCAUUCUACAGAAAAUGAAAGAAAAGCGAGCGGUUUUGUUUGGUGCGUUCAGCAAUGCACUUUCAAAACAAGAUAAAGUGGAAGAAUGGCAGCAAAUUAAUUCAUACUCACAGACAUUGGGCGCGAUUGCACCAACGAAAGAGUGGACAUACUUGAGGGAUAUUUGGUGGCCAAAUGUGUGGAAUGCUACAAUGAGAGAAACAAUCGAAAGACAUCACAUGACAACAUUUCUUUGAGUGAAUCUGACAAGACUGAAGAGUCACUUAAAAAAAAGAAAUUGGAACUUUCGGUGGAAAUUUUAGAAAAAGAAAGUUACAUGAAAUCUUUAGAAAUAUUAAAACUUGAGAGGGAACUGGGUGUGGGUUCUUCAAAAUUAACAGAGUCCUUUUUGGCCAGCGAAACUCAUACAUAUAUAAUUCAAGAUUCUGAAUCACUGGGGGGUGAAAAUACAAUUACUGUUGAACGAGGCUGCCAGUGAAGAACAGUUUAUGGUAAAAAAUGAGAAAAUUCCCCUAAAUACUAUUAAUAUUAAAAAAUAAAAUAUUUUACGAUAUGAA